rnacentral:rRNA from 1 species
UACGUAGGGGACAAGCGUUGUCCGGAUUUACUGGGCGUAAAGAGCGCGCAGGCGGUCGAUCAAGUCGAGUGUGAAAGCCCCCGGCUCAACUGGGGAGGGUCAUUCGAUACUGAUCGACUCGAAGGCAGGAGAGGGUAGUGGAAUUCCCGGUGUAGUGGUGAAAUGCGUAGAUAUUGGGAGGAACACCAGUGGCGAAGGCGGCUCGCUGGGCCGGUUCUUGACGCUGAGGCGCGAAAGCUAGGGGAGCAAACGGG